CAAGCAGGUUGGGCAGUUGCAUACUACGGUAUGAGGAAAGUCCGAGCCCCAUAGAGCAGAAUAACGGCUAACGGCCGCCGAGGGUAACCUUAGGGACAGUGCAACAGAGAUAUACCGCCGCUUUUUGCGGUAAGGGUGGAAAGGCGAGGUAAGAGCUCACCGAUCGGAUGGAAACGUUUUGAUCCUGUAAACCCUAUUCGGGGCAACACCGACAGAAUAGGCUUGCUCGGCCUGUAAUUUCAAAGGGUGGCUUGAGCUGCGGAGUAAUUUGCAGACUGGAUAGAUAAUUGCCUUAAAUGACAGAACUCGGCUUACAGACCUGCUUGUAUG
rnacentral:RNase_P_RNA from 1 species